UGCCAGCAGCCGCGGUAAUACGGGGGGGACUAACGUUGUUCGGAUUUACUGGGCGUAAAGCGCGCGUAGGCGGUUUUGUAAGUCGGAUGUGAAAUCCCUGGGCUUAACCUGGGAACUGCAUUCGAUACUGCAUAACUAGAGUAUGGUAGAGGGAAGUGGAAUUUCCGGUGUAGCGGUGAAAUGCGUAGAUAUCGGAAGGAACACCAGUGGCGAAGGCGACUUCCUGGGCCAAUACUGACGCUGAGGUGCGAAAGCGUGGGGAGCAAACAGGAUUAGAUA
rnacentral:rRNA from 1 species